UAUGGCCACAUCACGUUGAAACAUUCGUUCCCUUAUGAUCAUCAAAGUUAAGCAACGUUGAGCCUGGUCAGUACCUAGAUGGGUAACCACUUGGGAAUACCAGGUUCUGUAAG